rnacentral:rRNA from 1 species
CCUACGGGAGGCAGCAGUGGGGAAUUUUGGACAAUGGGCGCAAGCCUGAUCCAGCAAUGCCGCGUGAGUGAAGAAGGCCUUCGGGUUGUAAAGCUCUUUUGUCAGGGAAGAAACGGUGGGAGCUAAUAUCUCCUACUAAUGACGGUACCUGAAGAAUAAGCACCGGCUAACUACGUGCCAGCAGCCGCGGUAAUACGUAGGGUGCAAGCGUUAAUCGGAAUUACUGGGCGUAAAGCGUGCGCAGGCGGUUUUGUAAGUCUGUCGUGAAAGCCCCGGGCUCAACCUGGGAAUUGCGAUGGAGACUGCAAGGCUUGAAUCUGGCAGAGGGGGGUAGAAUUCCACGUGUAGCAGUGAAAUGCGUAGAGAUGUGGAGGAACACCGAUGGCGAAGGCAGCCCCCUGGGUCAAGAUUGACGCUCAUGCACGAAAGCGUGGGGAGCAAACAGGAUUAGAUACCCUGGUAGUCCACGCCCUAAACGAUGUCUACUAGUUGUCGGGUUUUAAUUAACUUGGUAACGCAGCUAACGCGUGAAGUAGACCCGCCGNGGGAGGUACGGUCGCGAGAAGUUAAACGUUAACUAAAGAAGUUAAGUAGNGNGNGAGAGCGACGACGACGACGAGGAGGAGGNGG